rnacentral:rRNA from 1 species
CACGUAGGGCGCAAGCGUUGUCCGGAAUUAUUGGGCGUAAAGAGCUCGUAGGCGGUUUGUCGCGUCUGCUGUGAAAACUGGAGGCUCAACCUCCAGCCUGCAGUGGGUACGGGCAGACUAGAGUGCGGUAGGGGAGAUUGGAAUUCCUGGUGUAGCGGUGGAAUGCGCAGAUAUCGGGAAGAACACCCGUGGCGAAGGCGGCUCUCUGGAACGCAACUGACGCUGAGACGCGAAAGCGUGGGGAGCAAACAGG